GAUAUGGCUCAGGAUGAACGCUAGCUACAGGCUUAACACAUGCAAGUCGAGGGGCAGCAUGGUCUUAGCUUGCUAAGACUGAUGGCGACCGGCGCACGGGUGAGUAACACGUAUCCAACCUGCCGUCUACUCUUGGACAGCCUUCUGAAAGGAAGAUUAAUACAAGAUGGCAUCAUGAGUCCGCAUGUUCACAUGAUUAAAGGUAUUCCGGUGGACGAUGGGG
rnacentral:rRNA from 1 species